UACCAGCACCCCGAGUGGUCGGGACGUUUUAUUGGGCCUAAAGCAUCCGUAGCCGGUUCUACAAGUCUUCCGUUAAAUCCACCUGCUUAACAGAUGGGCUGCGGAAGAUACUAUAGAGCUAGGAGGCGGGAGAGGCAAGCGGUACUCGAUGGGUAGGGGUAAAAAUCCGUUGAUCCAUUGAAGACCACCAGUGGCGAAGGCGGCU
rnacentral:rRNA from 1 species